rnacentral:misc_RNA from 1 species
CAAUCAAAAGAGAAGAGUCUAAAGGGUCAUCGUGAGUCUUGGGGAUGAGAUGAGGGUCAGGUGGAUAGCAGCUUAUCCAAGUGACUGUUUUGCUACACAGAUUAUAUUUCUCAAUGUAUAUUGAGAAGUAUCUGAUCUAGCAGCAAGAUUGCAAUGAUGAUACUGACAAAAAGUGUUUUGGGUUAAGACCCGGCGUAAAAGAAAUUAUGGUCCCCUAGGGAUUAUGGUCCCCUUUCCUUAUGGUCCUUACUGGCCCUGACUGUGUAUGAAUAAUAAGGAAAAUAAUUGUAAUUAGGUCACCAUAUAGAUCAAUAGAGAGUGGGACCAAAAUUUGAUAGGACCACCUACCCUUUUACACCGGGGGUUUAGAUGUAGGAUUAUAGUAAUGACAGGUCCCCAACUUCUAACUAGUCUCAACUUUCGUGAAGAAAAAUCUACCAUUGUGAAAAAUGGUAAAGGUCCAGCUGAAAGAUGUGGUGUUGAGAAAGUACAGAUUCACUGACCAGACAUCAGUAUGGCGAAUUUAUGAGAAAAUAAGAACUGAACAUAGGAAAACAAUGUAUAUCAAUGCAUUGAAAAGCUGGAAAACGCAACUUGUAUGCAUGAUAUUAUUAACUCUAGGAACUGCUAUAUCUAAGACAAUGUUGGUUGGAUAUGCUUUGGGUCUUGCCUAUUUAGGUCUAGUCAUAUACUCAUGUUACAGACUACAUGUGUUUUUGUGCUCUGUUGAUAAUGACCUUGCAAGGAUAAAUCUGGACUAUAUGAAACAGGGAGGACAUUUUCUGAUAGCCACUUACCAUAAACAGAUUAUUGGCUUUGUUGGAUUAAGUAGCAAUGUGGAUAGUGAUGAUGAAGGGGUUUUUGAGCUGCGUCAGUUGUGUGUGGAUAAGGAAUAUCGAAGACAAGGAGUUGGAGAAAAACUUCUAUACACAAUAAUAGAGCAUGCUAAUUCUUUACCAAACUGCACUAAAUUGGAAUUCACCAUUGAACCCAAUGUUUCUCCUCUGGGCAUUUUUACAAAGUUUGGAUUCCAGCACAAGUUAAAUAUAUGGUUUGGAUAUCAUGUACAUGGUCUGGCAACAAUGAAAUAUCAAAGAUACCAGAUGAAGAUGGAGUAGAAAUUACUAUCAGUGAGGAAAUGCCUAAUAAAUUGGUGAAUGAUGAUUUACCACCUACAUGUAUGUAGAUCAGAUCACUCUCAGUACUAAAUUGUAUGGGAUGCUUCAGUAGAUGUCCAAACUUGUUUAAUACACUUUUUGCCAGGAUAGUAGAAUCCAAACAAGAUUAUGUCCAGUGAUCUCCCCAUCUACUUGAACAUUUGAGAAUGGGCAUGUACCUCCUGAAAAUCUAAUUGUACGAACUUGAAAAUGAGAAAAAAUGGGAAGUGGUAUAUUCUAUAUUGGCCAACUUUGGUCAGAAUUAUGGAAAUGGGAAUUUUGUUCCAAUUUGAGGAAAACAUCC